rnacentral:lncRNA from 1 species
UUCAGGGCAGGCUACACCUCCAUUAUGCUCCAUCACCUGGAAUACAGCCACAGCCCCGAAAGAAAAUCAACAAAGGCUGCGUGGCUUUUACUGCUGAUGGAACCAAACUUUCCAAAUACACAUCAAGGGCUCAAUAUGAUUCCACUGAACUUCUCCCAGCGACCCACAGUUCAAACAAAGACCUCGAGUCAAGAGUGCCACAGCACAGGGAACGCUGCCAGGCCCAGCGGAGCACUCACCACUUCACUCCCAAACAGGCUUGUACCUACUGGCAACCCAGCCAUGGCCAGCUCAUGAUCUUGGACCCCUGCCUACUUCCCUCAAAGCAGGCAAAGGCCAUCGAGUUCAUAUUGGGCUUGAAAUUAAUGAUUGCGAUAACAUAACGAAUGGCGCGGGCAGCGGAGAUGAUUGCUACUUUGGAGAGGGAGCACCAAGAUGACUGCAAACUCUGCCCCUUGACUCUGCCUCGGUGAGGAGGGGAGAGGAAGACGCCAAGCGGAUGGAGCAGCAGAACACACACAGCGCAGGAAACCGCUGCGUAACGCUGUGAAGAAGUGAGGGUACCGGGCUGGAGCUGCAGGGAGGAGAAGCGCUAAAGGACGCACCUCUCUUGCGUGCCGUGCAAGGGACAAGCCUAUGAAGCCUUCCAGACUAGAACACCAGGAUCUGAAGUUACCUUUCUUUGUGCCGACGUGUGUUUUGACUUCUGAAGCUGAGGAGAGCUCGCGGCUCCUAAAGCCCUGUCAUCGAAACUGUGUGUGGUCGCCGCCUCUGGAAAUCGGUUCACCCCACGUGGAUCCACAAUGCAGGUUUUGCGUUAGGCAGCGAUACUGGAGAGCAGCAGCCAGAGUGCACCCGGGGUCAUGGGAAUAAAGCAGCCGCUCCCCUCAGCGGUCAUGGAGAGACCUCGGGGGGAAAACCGUUUUUAUCGGCUACUGAGGCUCUGAACGCUCCUCUCUUUCCCUUGCGCUCUGUGGCAUUCAGACCAUGCUAACUCGACCUACUUUAGAUACCGCUCGCUGAGCUUUUCCAAAUGCUUAUGUUCUGUGUUUACUUAAGGUGCUAUUAAAUCCUUUAUCGGCUGUUUUACUGUUGCAGGAUUCGCUCCAGCCGUGUGCGAAUUCCAGUACGAGGCAGAGGCUCUGCUCGAGGUCAGGUGCUAGUGGUAGACUUACAGUCAAGAUGUCCUGAAAAACCCCCUGAAGAGGAAAGCCACGAGAUAUCAAUCCAUCUACAGAAAAAUAAAACCAACUACUCCACUGAUGUUAAUUCUGGGGAAAGGGGUUGGAAGAACACCAGGGAAUGACAUCCUCAAUAUGUCUGGAGAGCAGUUCCUGAAUAGCUUUCCUUUCAGAGCAAGAUCAGUGGCCUUCCCCAGAGAUGAAUGAGAAACAUCAGAGCUGAUGGGGGUGGCUCACCCCCUCUGCUCACACACUCCUUGACUUCUUUCCUGAGAUUAAAAUGAAGAAUCGCAUGGCAACUCUGAUAAGUGUGUUCCUUGUGCUGCCUUAUUUGCUGAUGGCAACAUGCAAGAAGCUCAGCUGCUGGAGCUUGCUGUAAUUCCAGGAAGGCAGGUUCUGCCUGUUUGUGUAUUUAUUUAUUUAUUUUCGCUACCAGGCCACUCCAAUUUAUUACUUACCAUAUAGCAGUGUGGGAGACUUCUGGGAGCCAUCUGACAUGUGUACACCUUCCACUUCACCUUGUUGAGCACUGUAAGAAUGGGAAAGGGUAUCAGAGAAGAACUCAUUCUCAUACUUAAUGGAAUUGUCACAGUUACUGAUAUGAACAACCCUGUGCCUGAUCAUUCAGUCCUGGCUGCUGUUUCAACCAUGUUCCACUGACACCCCUCAGUUACAUGGGAGCACCACCACAGCUGUGCUUUUGUGUGCAGCUGUGGUUAUUGAUGCUUGUGCAGAGGUUUGUGAUUAAGGCCUGGAGAAUUUCUCUCUAGAAAACAAAAAUCAGACAUUUGGAGAUAUUUCUGAAAAGGUAAUUUGAUUUUACGUUUUCCCCAUCUUUAAAAGUAAGUUAUCUCUGCUGAUAUAUGUCUUUUAAUCAGAGAAGCACUGUUACCUUUCUUACUGUUUAUCACUUACCAGGGCUGAAUUUGAACUGAUGAGAACAGGAUACAGUGUUUGAUAUCAGCUUACAGUACAGCUGAAAGAUCAGCUGCCAAAAUGAUCUGCAUAUGCACACUUGAUUUGAUGAGCUCACAUCUUUCAGUUCAGAGAAGGGUAGUGCCUAUUUGUCAUUAUUAUUUUGCAGAUUGCGUAGAACUGUCACGUGCUUUGCUUUAUUUCAGCAGUACUUGAAUAAUGGUAAUGCCUGACUUGAUAAAAGGUGACUCGUUCAAUAUUAACAUUAUCUAGACAGCAUUUCCAGUAAGCAUCCUGACCCACUCUCUGUUUUGUAUUGAGAACAUUUGCUUUUUCCCCAGGAAAAAAAACCAAAUCCUUAUGAAAAUAAUGAUUUCUGCAAAAUGUUUUGAUUUACAAGUUUCAUUUCAUAGAAAUGUGCACAUACGAAAGAUAAACGCAUUGAAAUGAAUAUAGCUAUAUUGAAAUGAAUGUAGUUAAGAGUAAUAGAGCAAGAAUCAGGAAAUACCCUGAGAGCUGCACACAGGCAUUACUGUGGUCUUUCAGGAAACACAGGGAGAAGUUACAGAAGUGACUUCAAAACUGACACCACUUUAUAGAGAAUAAUCCAAUUUCUGCAGAUCUCAACCAGCCUAACGGAGCGAGGGUGUAUGUAGCAGUCAGUUAUAAAGCAUUAUAAAGCAGUCAUAAAGCAUUUCUGGUAGUACGGAACUGUUUUGUGUGGUAGAUAUUGUUUUAUUGCAUUGAUUUACUUCAUUUAGUUAGCUCUCCUGCUAAAGAGAAAUCACUUUGUGUGUUGAAAUCCUUCAACAAUGUUUAAAUAUAGACCAGAAUUCUGGCCUUGCUGAAUCCAAUGGCAGAUUCCCAAACUAGAUUAUAAUAGGACAAAUAUAUCAUUUACAGAUGGAAAAUAAAAUCCAUUCAGCCUUUAGCAAGCUGAAAAGCUCCUCUGUUUUGUGUCUGACAUUUUUAUGGAGCUGGAAGAUAAAAACCUGAGAAGAAUAACAGUGAAUCAUAUCUAUCCUGUGUGGCAGAGCAACAAGCGAAGCCUGUGAGCUCUGGACAACGUGCGAGGCUCAGGGCAGUGCAGGUGAUGCCUACUCUCCUCACUGCCUGGGUCCCAACGUCUCACUGGGGUCCUGCAGGAGACCAGGGGUGCAGCAAUUGAAGAUUGCUCUACAGCUAUUCGACAUAUGCUCUCUGAAGCAAGGGAGGGGAAUUGCCCAAUUUACACCAAUGGACGGAGCAUCAGCAAGAUCAGUGAUCAUAACCAGAGUGAAACCUAGUGAUCUGUGGUGUUGGCUCCCUAGGAGGUGUUUGGAAAUACCAUUCCUCAGAAGUUCUGCAUAGCAGGUCUAGGCAUGGCUUUCAGCAUCACAGCUUUGGUAACUUGAGUAGCUGCUGGGGAAGAGAAGGGCAGAAAAGUGUAUUUGGGAGGGGAGAAGCAGCCUGGAUGAACCAUCUCAUUUCCUAGUGAGAGCCAUGGGUGUUCAACCUUUUGGUUUGUCUGGACUGCACUGAGUGAAGAAGAAUUGUCUUGGGCCACAUAUAUGUAGACUGGUCUGGAAGUAAUGGCACUUAUUUAUCUCCAUGGAAACUAUAACAGAUACAAGGAGAAAAAUAACAUUAUUCGAUAGAGCAAAUUCUCAGCUACAAAACAUUGUUUUUCAUCAUAGUCACUACUGUUAGCUCUGCAUUUUUGCCAGCAAUGAACAACAGCUGCAUGCUGCGCUCGUAAACAUCUAUACCAGAGGUGAGCCUCUGUCACCACUGCUGAAAUACAUCACUUGUUGCCUCACUGUGCUCACACCCACUGUUUGGUCUCCAUCAGCGUUCAGAAAGUGUCAACAAAUGUCAGUGGGUGCCAUAUUUUCUGCAUGGAGGAAUUCAGUGACACACCUUCACGAGCACUUUCACGUUGGAUGCCAUUGUGUCAGACUGCCCCUCUGAUGCCAUCUGCCACACAGCAACAAAACAUAAUGGGAUACUGGUGAGAAGGUUCAGCCUCUUCUGCCAUAUGACCAACAUCUGCCUUUGGCACUGUGGGUAAGUAUCAGAACAUUGGAGGCAUUGCUUUUGGAGCACUCUCCAUAAAGUAUAUAAUAUAGCUAAUGUGCUUCAUCCUUGAAAAUGGUUGUUCACAAAUGUAUGUACUGCCAAAAAAAGGUAAUGUGAAUAAGGUGAGACUGUGAAGUGAGGGGUAUUCCUCUUUCGUAAGAGAGGGCUUAUGGAUGUCUGGUAAAGAGAUACGAUCGCAUAUUUCUUGAGUUGAAUGUCUGAUUGCAACUUGAUACAUUCCAUUUGAAAAUUCACAACUGAAAAUAGAAUUACAAAUAUACCAAAAAACUGAUCACCUUUUUUCAGCUAUCUUGAAACCUGCUCUCAAACGCAGCCCACGGGCAGAGGGUUGGCCAUGCCUGUAAGUCAGCAGUCUUCUGCAGCACUCUGCCUUCUUACAGUCCCCUCUCAGCAUCAACGCGCAGGCUGGGCGUUCAGAGAGAAAAAGCUUUUGAGCACGUUGAGUAGAAAACAAGUUACUGAAAUAGCACUGGAGGUCACAGAAAAAGCAGUCUGUAAGCUAACCAGACUGCCCUGUUGCAAAGGCUUUCAGGUUUUCGUAGCACUGACCAAGGUACCGCUGGAGAGUGGGGUCUGUGGAGCUCAUUGUGAGCAGCUUGGCAGUGCCGUGCGGUUUCUGGCAGCUGGACAAAAUGCUUGCGGUUGGCAGGCCUCUCGCAAAGCCAUGGAAGGAAAGGAUAUAAAAAGAACACUGUUUCUGGAUUAACCAGAGGGACGGGCUGCACUGGCCGGUCACCACACAGUGCAGGAAGGAGCGGGCUGAGCUCCCUCAUUCACCACAUCCGCUGCUUCUGUGGAGCCAGAAGGAGGCAAUCAGGGGCCGCUACCAGAACAGAAGGCCUACAUGAAUCUUCCAAAGUAGCUGAUGUGACGUGAGACUCGUUUGGAAAGUGCUUUUCGUUUUAUAUACAGCUCAGCAACAGAAGCUUUUACUUUAAUCUUCUCAUUUCAUAGUGCCUGGGGUAAAAAAAAAACAAACAACAAAAAAAACAAACCAGCCUCAGCCGAGUGCAGCUUCGGUUUAAACAGAUUGUAUGGCAGCUCCAUUGGGUAUUUAGGUCCAGUUAAUUCCUUAUAACAUGAGAAAAUUUCUAGUGACAUCUGGAUUCCCUUUUUCCUCCUCCAGGCACACUCAGUCUGUGCUCUCACCAUGAAAGUUCAGAGCAGGUUGAAAUAUCACCUGCAGGAGUAAUUUUUGGUUGAAAAAAUAAAAGGGUUUUUUUAAUGCCAACCGUUACCGGAACAGGCUGCCCAUGGAGGUGGUGGAGUCACUGACCCUGGAGGCGUUCAAGAACUGUGUGGGUGUGGCACUGAGGGACAUGGUUAGUGGGAAUGGUGGGGGUGGGCUAACAGUUGGACUUAAUGAUCUUAGAGGUAGGUCUUUUCCAGCCUUAAUGAUUCUAUGAACCUACAAUCAAUUAAUGGCAGCCCAGAUCCUCAUCUCAAGAACUCCAGUCUCUAUACUGUUUCUUUAAUGAACGUUAGAAGCAAGGCUUGUUUUUUCAUUACUGAAUAAAACAGAGCUCUAUUAGGCUUUUGGAUUGAUCUUGUUUCCCAGCCUUCUUAUUUGUAAUGUUUUUUUGACAGAUGUGCUCAGGCUAUUCUCGUUGUGAGAAGAAACAGGGAACAGCAUCAGAUGAACUUGUUGUCAGGUUAUUAUUUGUCAACAAGAUCAAGCAAAGCCCUGCUCUCCUGGAGAAAUCGAAUUUCCCCACCAGCCAGGCUGAAUACUUCCAGCCAGUAUCCUGCCACUUCCCAGCAGACCUGUUCUUAGGUUCACAAAAGUUCCUUCGGUCUCCAUCAAACUCUCAUAUACUCAUGAGGCAUACUUACACAUCCCAUUCCCCAAAUAAUAUUCAGAUUUAAAAAAACAAAAAUCUAUCCAAAGCAUGAAAUUACAUUCAGUGGUGUGUAGCGAUAGGACAAGGAGUAAUGGCCUAAAAACUUGAACAUAGGGAGUUCCAUACAAACAUGCAGAAGAACUUCUCUACAGUAAGAAUGAUGGAAGACUGGAACAGGCUGCCCAGAGAGGUUGUGGAGUCUCCUUUUAUGGAGAUAUUCAGGACCCAUCUGGACGCCUACCUGUGUGACCUACUGUAGGGUACCUCCUUUGGCAGGGGGUUGGACUUGAUAUCUCUUAAGGUUCCUUUCAACCCCUGUGAUUCUAUGAUUCCCAAGUAUUUGUCUUUAGUGACUUUUAGAAAAAAGGCCUCUUCUCUGCUCUGUACAUCCCUGCUAAUGAGCACAAGCAUCAAGAAGUAGAGCAGUGACCAUGCUACUUGCCCAACUGAUUGCUAUUGCUAAUGAACCACCCUGAUUAAAAGCUGUUCUCGUCAGUCCACAGUGGUGUUCUGAAGGGAGAUCCUGUAGUAAAUGAGAUCAUCAGUGAAAUGAUCAUUAGUGUGUGUAGAUUGUUAAAACCUUCCUGAAAACUGCUAUAAUGAAGCUAGAGUUGAAAGUACUUUUAAUUAAUUUUGGGUCAAAUAAUCCUUGGGAUGUGAAAGUGAUCUGUCACUAUCCCCCCAAAAUUAUACAUCGAAGAAAAGAGCAAGAGGAAUGUCAGGACUGAUUAGAUAACAACUGGAUGGAGGUAAUUAGUUGCUCAACUUCCAAGGAAAAGGUGGCAGAGAGCUCUGUGAAUGUGAGCGUGCAGAAGGCACACAAACAGCCCACGGCCUGCCUCUGCUCAGGGUCCCACAGACCUGAUGGUUCAGGGCAAUGUGAGUGCCAUUUUGGGUGCCAGGUGACUCCCAGGGACUUGGAUUGCCCCCCAGCCCCUUCCAUUGACAAAAGAGAGCUAGGCAAAAGAGGCAGCUAACGAGUUCCAUAGGAGUGUAAGGGAGAGACAUACAAAGAGCAGAGACUAAUACUGACCUUACAUUCCUCCAGUUUAGCCAACACAGUCCCACCUUUGCCAUGUGGGUGGCAUGUGAUGAGUUGGUGUGGGCUCCAGAAAAGCUCCUUGAGCACCACAUAUGUCUGAGAUCUGAGGGAAGUGUAAUUAAAAGCACAGAUUUUGACACAUCUGAAGGAAACAGGUAAUUGUAUGUGCUGAGAUCACCCCUGGGUUACGACAGAGGAGCCUACUAGCCUGCAUGAAUGAUCAGCAGAGCAUUGUACUGAAGAAUGAGAAAACAGUGUGUGAGUCCCCUUGCCUCAAAGGAGGCACCUCUAUCCUGCAGUCCUUUACUCAGGUAACCAAUCAGUCCUUCCAGUUCUGCAGAACAGCAGGAAUGGCAAGGAACUGGCCUUGCACUAAUUAUCUGGAUAUGUUAACACAUUCCCUGCCAUGACUUGGUAUUGAAGGAAGCCUUUAAGACCUUCAGAACUGCAUCUAUGUACCAGAUGCUUGGUUAAUGAGGCCUUCAAGAAACCCAGCUAACAGUCAUUAAACAGAAAACACAAGAUUAACAUUUAAGAGCAUCAAUUACUGAUUUACUACUUUAACAAGCUGUUAAUAAAU